rnacentral:rRNA from 1 species
GAUGAACGCUGACAGAAUGCUUAACACAUGCAAGUCUACUUGAAUUUGGGUUUUUAACUUAGGUUUGGGUGGCGGACGGGUGAGUAACGCGUAAAGAACUUGCCUCACAGCUAGGGACAACAUUUAGAAAUGAAUGCUAAUACCUAAUAUUAUGAUAAUAGGGCAUCCUAUAAUUAUGAAAGCUAUAUGCGCUGUGAGAGAGCUUUGCGUCCUAUUAGCUAGUUGGUAAGGUAAAGGCUUACCAAGGCGAUGAUAGGUAGCCGGCCUGAGAGGGUGGACGGCCACAAGGGGACUGAGAUACGGCCCUUACUCCUACGGGAGGCAGCAGUGGGGAAUAUUGGACAAUGGAGGAAACUCUGAUCCAGCAAUUCUGUGUGUGUGAAGAAGGUCUUCGGAUUGUAAAACACUUUUAGUUGGGAAGAAACAAAUGACGGUA